AACCUUUACACUGCACGACAGUGCGAUAAGGGAAUCCCAAGUGCGUAGGCAUAGAGCCUACGCUUUUGUCCACCGUAGGGAGGUGGACGAAUAAGGGCUGGGCAAGACCGGUGCCAGCCGCCGCGGUAAUACCGGCAGCCCGAGUGAUGGCCGAUCUUAUUGGGCCUAAAGCGUCCGUAGCUGGCCGCGCAAGUCUAUCGGAAAAUCCACCCGCUCAACGGGUGGGCGUCCGGCGGAAACUGCAAGGCUUGGGACCGGGAGGCUUGAAGGGUACGUCCGGGGUAGGAGUGAAAUCCCGUAAUCCUGGACGGACCGCCGAUGGGGAAACCACUUCAAGAGAACGGAUCCGACAGUGAGGGACGAAAGCUAGGGUCUCGAACCGGAUUAGAUACCCGGGUAGUCCUACCUGUAAACGAUGCCUGUUACGCGUGACUCCCACUACGAGUGGGUGUUGUGCCGUAGGGAAGCCGCUAAGCAGGCCGCCUGCGAAGUACGUCCGCAAGGAUGAAACUUAA
rnacentral:rRNA from 1 species